UACGUAGGGGCCUAGCGUUGUCCGGAUUUAUUGGGCGUAAAGAGCUCGUAGGCGGUUUGGUUAGUCAGGUGUGAAAUCUCCACGCUCAACGUGGAGGAGCCACCUGAUACUGCCAUGACUUGAGUCCGGUAGGGGAGUGUGGAAUUCCCGGUGUAGCGGUGAAAUGCGCAGAUAUCGGGAGGAACACCAGUGGCGAAGGCGGCUUCCUGGCCUGUUCUUGACGCUGAGGCGCGAAAGCUAGGGGAGCAAACGGG
rnacentral:rRNA from 1 species